AUACUUAUUUCCCUCAUUGAAAUGCAAAUCAAUUUAUAACAUUUUUGACAUGCGUUUUUUCUGGAUUUUGUUGUUGUUAUUCUGUCUCUCACUGUUCAAAUAAACCUACCAUUAAAAUUAUAGACUGAUAAUUUCUUUGUCAGUGGGCAAACAUACAAAAUCAGCAGGGGAUCAAAUACUUUGUUCCCUCACUGUAUAUAAAUUGCAUUGGCAUAUGUGGUCAUUGACACGGUAAAACUAGUCAAGAUGGUGUGGUGGUGUUGCAGUGUCAAGAAAAGUGCUUCAUGGUGUCUUAAACUCUCUUCUCAUUUGACAGCAAUUGGAGAGUACAGCCAUGUCUUUAGCUGCAUGCAGUGAGGCAUGGGGCGUCUGCGAGAAUGCCGGCAAUUCACGGAGCAAGACCAGAGGUCGAGCCAUGCUGCCCACGUCUAGAGAGCCGCGAGGUGCGUGGGGUGGUGGCACGUCUCCGCGCCGAGUGUGGGUCACUGUCCGUGCACGCAGUUGCCUUGGCCCACACUCAAGGUGAUCUGAACAAGGCCUUGGGACACGUUCGUAAUGAGAAACAGGCAAAUGUGCAAGCUUCUAGCAUGCGAUCGCGACGACCUACACGUGAGGUGACGUCCAAUCUUGUGGGUCAGAAAAUAACAAAAAUACGAUACAAAAACAUCACAGGAAAGGUAAACAAAUUGUUUCGAAAUAUACAAAUUAAACUGAACUCUUUUUAUCUUACCAUAGACUCAUACAAACAUGUUGGACUCGCACAGAGACCUUAACCACUAAACCUCGAACAAUUAAAACCCUCUAAACCCCUAACUAUCUAAAUCCAUAACCAUCUAAACCGCUAACCCUCUCAACCCAUUUACCCUUACAACCCUAAUCUUUAAACCCCUCGCCCUCUAAAAGCUUAAACUCUAAACCACCAAAACACUAACCAUCUCAACCCCUAACCCUCUAAAUUCCUAUACCCCUAACCCUCAACCCCUUUACCCUUAAAACCCUAACCCACCAAAACCCUCACUCUCUAAACCCCUUAUUCUUUUAACCCUAACCGUCUAAGCCAAUAAAAACCAAAACUUCGAAACCCUCUGAAUCCCUAACCCUCUAAACCUUGAAACCCUAACCUUCUAAAACCCUAAAUCCUUAACAUUCUAAAUACCAACCAAUCUAAACCACUACCCUCUAAAGAACUAACCCUCUAGACCCCUAACCCUCUGAACUCAUAACCUCCUAAAUCCUCAACCUCUAAAACCCUAACCCUCAAACCCCUAACGUUCUAAAACCCUAAAUCUGUAACCUAAUCCCAACACAUUUAAACCCCAACCCUCUAAAGAACGAACCCUCUAGACACCUAACCCUUAAAACACCUAUGCCCCUAAAAUGCUAACCCUCUAAACACAUAAUCCACUACACCCGGAACCCUCUAAACCCAUAAAGGUUUUUUUUGUUAGAUUAUGUAAAUAUAAACGUGUCGUUAAACCAACCACCACCUGAAACAGCCAAUUAGUAAAAUUUGUCACAUCAACAAAAAGUGCCAUUUAGUGUUGGAGACUAAACCAAAAAAAACCUUUAUUAUGGACAAUAUUAGUUGUGAAAGUCUACGUGUUAAACCCUCAACUCUCAAACCACUAAACCCGUAACACUGUAAAUCACUAACCCUUGAAACCCCGAUACCUCUAAACCCCUAAACACAUACCCUUAUAACCUCAACUACUAAC